GUUAAUAGUACGUGAAACUGCUUAGAGGUUAAGCCCGAUGAACCUGAAUAUCCGUUAUGGAAAAUUCAUCAUUAGAAUUGUAAUGUUUUAAUAAUAUUAUAAUAAUAGUGUGCAUUUUUUCCAUAUAAGGACAUUGUAAUCUAUUAACAUGAUUAAUUUAUCAAAAAGUUGUGAAUUAUUGCUUAUUUCAAUUAUAUUGCUUGCAUUAUAACAUGAAAUAAAUUGUUGUAAAUUUGAUAAAGUGUUUAUAGAUUUAUAUGAAUACUGUGCGUUAAUUUUUCGGAAUUAUAUAAUGGCAUAAUUAUCAUUGAUUUUUGUGUUUAUUAUAUGCACAUGUAUGAUUAACAAUGCGAAAGAUUCAGGAUACCUUC
rnacentral:rRNA from 1 species